CUAACGAUUGAUCUAGUUACUUAGAAAGAUGAAGAUUAUGAUAAAAUUUAUUAUUUUAUAAAAAAUAAUAAAAUGAAAAAUAAUAAUGAAGAAUAUAAAAUCUAAAUAUAAUAAAAAAUAAUGAUAAAAAAUAAUAUUGAAGUCUUAACAAAAAUUAGUGCCAGCAGUUGCGGCUAAACUAAGGAGGCAAAUGUUAAUCAUUAAAGGCUUAAAGGAUCCGUAGAAUGAUAUAUAUAUUAUAUAUAAUAGAGUUAUAUUAAAGAAUAAUGAAUAAUUAUAAUGAGAGAUGAAAUCCAAUGAUAAUAAUUAGACAAACAAUAUUGAAAAUAUUAUUCAAAAUAUUAACUGACAUUGAGGGAUGAAGGCAUGAGUAGCAAAACGGAUUAGAUACCCGAGUAGUUCAUGCAGUAAACGAUGAAUACUAAAUAAUAAUAAAAAUUAUAAGUGAAAACUAAAGUAUUCCGCCAGGUGAG
rnacentral:rRNA from 1 species